GACGAACGCUGGCGGCGUGCUUAACACAUGCAAGUCGAACGGAAAGGCCUCUUUCGGGGGGUACUCGAGUGGCGAACGGGUGAGUAACACGUGAGUACUCUGCUCGUGACUUUGGGAUAACUUCAGGAAACUGGGGCUAAUACCGGAUAGGAGCUUCUGCCGCAUGGUGGGGGUUGGAAAGUUUCGGCGGUUGGGGAUGGACUCGCGGCUUAUCAGCUUGUUGGUGGGGUAGUGGCUUACCAAGGCUUUGACGGGUAGCCGGCCUGAGAGGGUGACCGGCCACAUUGGGACUGAGAUACGGCCCAGACUCCUACGGGAGGCAGCAGUGGGGAAUAUUGCACAAUGGGUGGAAGCCUGAUGCAGCAACGCCGUGUGCGGGAUGACGGCCUUCGGGUUGUAAACCGCUUUCGCUCGUGACGAAGCUUUGUGUGACGGUAGUGGGUAAAGAAGCACCGGCUAACUACGUG
rnacentral:rRNA from 1 species